UACGGAGGGGGCGAGCGGUGUUCGGAAUUACUGGGCGUAAAGCGCGCGUAGGCGGACCUGCAAGUCGGGGGGGAAAGCCCGAGGCUCAACCUCGGAACUGCCUUCGAUACUGCGGGUCUCGAGUCCGGGAGAGGUGAGUGGAAUUCCUAGUGUAGAGGUGAAAUUCGUAGAUAUUAGGAAGAACACCGGUGGCGAAGGCGGCCCACUGGAUCGGUACUGACGCUGAGGUGCGAAAGCGUGGGGAGCAAACAGG
rnacentral:rRNA from 1 species